GUGCUUUCCCUUCUCUUCCAGGGAUUGUCUGCUCCUUUCUUUGUUUAGCUGGAAAGAAGAAAGCAUGGAGGACCAAAGAAAAGGAGGUGAUCGAGUGUCUCCAUAGGAAAAGUUCCUCAGUAAAGGAAAAAUCCUCUCGCAGUCUGAUGGCUGUCAGAAGCUCACGCUCAGCAGUGCUAACACCAGCCUGUUCUUGCUCCCAGUCCUCCCCACCAGUGCCUCUCAUGGUAUCUAUCCCUGCCCCACAUCACUUGGCCUGCACUCGGGGCCUUGCUGUCUUCCCACCCACCCCAUCUUGUCUUGUGUCACACUGCUGAUGUGCAGCCUUGCCUAGCCAUCCACACACUCGUCCAGGCGCUAGACCAUCUCAUAACAGCCAGUAC